GAUGAACGCUGGCGGCGUGCCUAAUACAUGCAAGUCGAGCGAACAGACGAGGAGCUUGCUCCUCUGACGUUAGCGGCGGACGGGUGAGUAACACGUGGAUAACCUACCUAUAAGACUGGGAUAACUUCGGGAAACCGGAGCUAAUACCGGAUAAUAUAUUGAACCGCGUGGUUCAAUAGUGAAAGACGGUUUUGCUGUCACUUAUAGAUGGAUCCGCGCCGCAUUAGCUAGUUGGUAAGGUAACGGCUUACCAAGGCAACGAUGCGUAGCCGACCUGAGAGGGUGAUCGGCCACACUGGAACUGAGACACGGUCCAGACUCCUACGGGAGGCAGCAGUAGGGAAUCUUCCGCAAUGGGCGAAAGCCUGACGGAGCAACGCCGCGUGAGUGAUGAAGGUCUUCGGAUCGUAAAACUCUGUUAUUAGGGAAGAAUAAAUGUGUAAGUAACUAUGCACGUCUUGACGGUACCUAAUCAGAAAGCCACGGCUAACUACGUG
rnacentral:rRNA from 1 species